CUUGCGCUAUCCGAGCGGCCGAUAUCUGAUUAGCUGGUUGGCGGGGUAAAGGCCCACCAAGGCGACGAUCAGUAGCGGGUCUGAGAGGAUGAUCCGCCACACUGGGACUGAGACACGGCCCAGACUCCUACGGGAGGCAGCAGUGGGGAAUUUUGGACAAUGGGCGCAAGCCUGAUCCAGCCAUGCCGCGUGUCUGAAGAAGGCCUUCGGGUUGUAAAGGACUUUUGUCAGGGAAGAAAAGGCCGUUGCCAAUAUCGGCGGCCGAUGACGGUACCUGAAGAAUAAGCACCGGCUAACUACGUGCCAGCAGCCGCGGUAAUACGUAGGGUGCGAGCGUUAAUCGGAAUUACUGGGCGUAAAGCGGGCGCAGACGGUUACUUAAGCAGGAUGUGAAAUCCCCGGGCUCAACCCGGGAACUGCGUUCUGAACUGGGUGACUCGAGUGUGUCAGAGGGAGGUGGAAUUCCACGUGUAGCAGUGAAAUGCGUAGAGAUGUGGAGGAAUACCGAUGGCGAAGGCAGCCUCCUGGGAUAACACUGACGUUCAUGUCCGAAAGCGUGGGUAGCAAACAGGAUUAGAUACCCUGGUAGUCCACGCCCUAAACGAUGUCAAUUAGCUGUUGGGCAACUUGAUUGCUUGGUAGCGUAGCUAACGCGUGAAAUUGACCGCCUGGGGAGUACGGUCGCAAGAUUAAAACUCAAAGGAAUUGACGGGGACCCGCACAAGCGGUGGAUGAUGUGGAUUAAUUCGAUGCAACGCGAAGAACCUUACCUGGUUUUGACAUGUGCGGAAUCCUCCGGAGACGGAGGAGUGCCUUCGGGAGCCGUAACACAGGUGCUGCAUGGCUGUCGUCAGCUCGUGUCGUGAGAUGUUGGGUUAAGUCCCGCAACGAGCGCAACCCUUGUCAUUAGUUGCCAUCAUUCGGUUGGGCACUCUAAUGAGACUGCCGGUGACAAGCCGGAGGAAGGUGGGGAUGACGUCAAGUCCUCAUGGCCCUUAUGACCAGGGCUUCACACGUCAUACAAUGGUCGGUACAGAGGGUAGCCAAGCCGCGAGGCGGAGCCAAUCUCACAAAACCGAUCGUAGUCCGGAUUGCACUCUGCAACUCGAGUGCAUGAAGUCGGAAUCGCUAGUAAUCGCAGGUCAGCAUACUGCGGUGAAUACGUUCCCGGGUCUUGUACACACCGCCCGUCACACCAUGGGAGUGGGGGAUACCAGAAGUAGGUAGGGUAACCGCAAGGAGCCCGCUUACCACGGUAUGCUUCAUGACUGGGGUGAAGUCGUAACAAGGUAGCCGUAGGGGAACCUGCGGCUGGAUCACCUCCUUUCUAG
rnacentral:rRNA from 1 species